CUAUAUGAAAUAUUAUUAUUACAAGUUUUGGAGUUUGGGAAGUUAACUUAAAAAAAACCAGUUUGAGCAAGGAGUGAGACUGUGUCUUAACAUGGGCACUUAAAGACUGGAUAUUUGGCCCCAACCCUGAUGAUAACAGCAACAAGAGUGAUGUGAACUGCAUCAGCAAUAACAUGAGUGAGAUGGGUGAAAUUCAAGGAACACACCAGCACCACCAGCA
rnacentral:lncRNA from 1 species